GUAAACGGCGGCCGUAACUAUAACGGUCCUAAGGUAGCGAAAUUCCUUGUCGGGUAAGUUCCGACCCGCACGAAAGGCGUAACGAUUUGGGCACUGUCUCAACAACAGACUCGGUGAAAUUGUAAUACCGGUGAAGAUGCCGGUUACCUGCGACAGGACGGAAAGACCCCAUGGAGCUUUACUGUAGCUUGACAUUGAGUCUCGGUGCUACAUGUACAGGAUAGGUGGGAGACUAUGAAGCAUGGACGUCAGUCUGUGUGGAGUCAUCCUUGGGAUACCACCCUUGUAGUACUGGGAUUCUAACCAGAGGCCAUGAAUCUGGUCUUGGGACACUGUCAGGUGGACAGUUUGACUGGGGCGGUCGCCUCCCAAAAAGUAACGGAGGCGCUCAAAGGUUCUCUCAGUACGGUCGGAAAUCGUACGAAGAGUGUAAAGGCAAAAGAGAGCUUGAUUGCAAGACAUACAGGUCGAGCAAGGACGAAAGUCGGACUUAGUGAUCCGGUGGUUCCGCAUGGAAGGGCCAUCGCUCAACGGAUAAAAGCUACCCUGGGGAUAACAGGCUGAUCUCCCCCAAGAGUCCACAUCGACGGGGAGGUUUGGCACCUCGAUGUCGGCUCAUCACAUCCUGGGGCUGUAGUAGGUCCCAAGGGUUGGGCUGUUCGCCCAUUAAAGUGGUACGCGAGCUGGGUUCAGAACGUCGUGAGACAGUUCGGUCCCUAUCCGUCGCAGGCGUAGGAAAUUUGAGGAGACCUGUCCUUAGUACGAGAGGACCGGGAUGGACGUACCGCUGGUGUACCAGUUGUUCUGCCAAGGGCAUGGCUGGGUAGCUAAGUACGGAAAGGAUAAGCGCUGAAAGCAUCUAAGCGCGAAGCCCACUUCAAGAUAAGAUUUCCCACCGCAAGGUUAAGAUCCCAGGAAGACUACCUGGUUGAUAGGUCAGAGGUGUAAGUGCAGUAAUGUAUUUAGCUUACUGAUACUAAUAGAUCGAGGACUUGACCAA
rnacentral:rRNA from 1 species